CUCUGAGAUUGAUCUAUUGUCAUUUGAUAUUUCCUUCGAUAUAUUCCAACAAGCACUGAUGGUAGGUAUAUAAUCCGCAAGGAGGAUGCGUACGCAACGAGAAUGACCAUUCAAAGCAGCCAAGUGAAGUGCAGUACCCCCAUUAAGAUAAUCUGAUCUGUGAACAUUGGCUUUAAAAAGCAUCAAAUUCAGAACAACCUCCCAGUGACCAUGUUGACAAGCUUGCAUCAACGCAGUCUGACCACGAUAAUUCCUCAGAUUAAUAUCAACUCCAGACUCAAUCAAGAGAGAAACUAUCUCAUGGUGACCUCGAGCUGCAGAGUAAUGUAGGGGAGAAUUUCGAACUCCAAAUGUGGAGUACCUCGCAAGCCUUGGAUUGCAUUCCAACAAGGCCUUGGCUUCUUGAAGAUCUCCAUCUCUUGCUGCAGAAACUAAACGCUCCCCGGAUGCAGAACAACCGAGAGAAUUGCCCAUGAUGCUUAGAAAUUUCAUGAUUUUUAGC
rnacentral:misc_RNA from 1 species